rnacentral:rRNA from 1 species
UACGUAGGGAGCAAGCGUUGUCCGGAAUCAUUGGGCGUAAAGCGCGCGUAGGUGGCCCCAUAAGUCCGCUGUGAAAGUCAAAGGCUCAACCUUUGAAAGCCGGUGGAUACUGUGGGACUAGAGUACGGAAGAGGCGAGUGGAAUUCCUGGUGUAGCGGUGGAAUGCGCAGAUAUCAGGAAGAACACCCGGUGGCUAAGGCGGCUCUCUAGUACGGUACUGACGCUGAGACGCGAAGGCGUGGGGAGCGAACAGGA